rnacentral:lncRNA from 1 species
AAAAGCUUAACCGUUUGGAGACACCUACCAAGCCGAUGAGAGUGGAGCCACGUUCGAAGAACUAAUCGGAUGAGGAGAGCUAUAUAGUUAAUAGGGGUUGAGAUCCCUAAUCAAACACCUACAAUCUUGGUUGAAGGGAUCAUCCCAACUUUAAAUGGGGAGGCAACCAAGGAGGAUAAAAUCAAGCACAAACUUGACAAAAUCCUCCUUACCAGCCUCCGCCAUUGCAAUAAUGAUAUGUAGGAAAUGACCAUGUUGAAUUUGGUUAAAG